rnacentral:rRNA from 1 species
GACGAACGCUGGCGGCGUGCUUAACACAUGCAAGUCGAACGGAAAGGCCCUGCUUUUGUGGGGUGCUCGAGUGGCGAACGGGUGAGUAACACGUGAGUAACCUGCCCUUGACUUUGGGAUAACUUCAGGAAACUGGGGCUAAUACCGGAUAGGAGCUCCUGCUGCAUGGUGGGGGUUGGAAAGUUUCGGCGGUUGGGGAUGGACUCGCGGCUUAUCAGCUUGUUGGUGGGGUAGUGGCUUACCAAGGCUUUGACGGGUAGCCGGCCUGAGAGGGUGACCGGCCACAUUGGGACUGAGAUACGGCCCCGACUCCUCCGGGAGGCAGCAGUGGGGAAUAUUGCACAAUGGGCGGAAGCCUGUUGCAGCAACGCCGCGUGCGGGAUGACUGCCUUCGGGUUGUAACCCGCUUUCGCCUGUGACGAGGCGUGAGUGACGGUAAUGGGUAAAGAAGCACCGGCUAACUACGUG